rnacentral:rRNA from 1 species
GACGAACCGUGCAAACGUGGUUCGGAAUCACUGGGCUUAAAGGGCGCGUAGGCGGCUUCCCAAGUCCGGGGUGAAAUCUUUCGGCUUAACCGGAAAAGUGCCUUGGAUACUGGGAGGCUCGAGGGGGGUAGGGGCAAGCGGAACUUCCGGUGGAGCGGUGAAAUGCGUUGAUAUCGGAAGGAACGCCGGCGGCGAAAGCGGCUUGCUGGACCCCAUCUGACGCUGAUGCGCGAAAACCAGGGGAGCGAACGGG